rnacentral:piRNA from 2 species
GUGGCUCUGUGGCGCAAUGGAUAGC